rnacentral:rRNA from 1 species
AACGAACGCUGGCGGCAGGCUUAACACAUGCAAGUCGAGCGCCCCGCAAGGGGAGCGGCAGACGGGUGAGUAACGCGUGGGAACAUACCCUCCGGUACGGAAUAACUCAGGGAAACUUGAGCUAAUACCGUAUACGGCUUAGCGGCGAAAGAUUUAUCGCCGGAGGAUUGGCCCGCGUCCGAUUAGCUAGUUGGUGUGGUAACGGCGCACCAAGGCGACGAUCGGUAGCUGGUCUGAGAGGAUGAUCAGCCACAUUGGGACUGAGACACGGCCCAAACUCCUACGGGAGGCAGCAGUGGGGAAUAUUGGACAAUGGGCGCAAGCCUGAUCCAGCCAUGCCGCGUGAGUGAUGACGGCCUUAGGGUUGUAAAGCUCUUUCGCCAGGGAC